AAAAAACAGAAAAAAGAAAAAAAGAAGGAAGAUACACCAAAAAAGGAAAAAACGAAAAGAAAUUACCCAACAGUUUUUUUUUGUUUUUGUUUUUU
rnacentral:ribozyme from 1 species